AGUAGAAUGGCUGAGAUUAUUAGGUGAUAGAUUGUAAAUCUAUAUAGGAGUUAUUAACUCUUCUACUA
rnacentral:tRNA from 1 species